rnacentral:rRNA from 1 species
UACGAAGGGUGCAAGCGUUACUCGGAAUUACUGGGCGUAAAGCGUGCGUAGGUGGUUUGUUAAGUCUGUUGUGAAAGCCCCGGGCUCAACCUGGGAAUGGCAAUGGAUACUGGCAAGCUAGAAUUCGGUAGGGGAGACUGGAAUUCCUGGUGUAGCGGUGAAAUGCGCAGAUAUCGGGAAGAACACCCGUGGCGAAGGCGGUUCUCUGGGACGGUACUGACGCUGAGACGCGAAAGCGUGGGGAGCGAACAGG